GGGAGGGAGUGACUAGUGACAGAGUGAGGGAGCGGGUGACACAGUGACAGAGAGAGGGAUGGGGUGACUAGUGACAGUCACCCCCUCCCUCUGUCACUAGUCACUCCCUCCCUCUGUUACUAGUCACUCCCUCACUCUGUCACCAGUCAUCCCCUCACUCUGUCACCAGUCACCCCUUCCCUCCCUCACUCUGCCACUAGUCAUCUUUUCCCUCCC